rnacentral:rRNA from 1 species
UACGGGGGGGCAAGCGGUUGUUCGGAAUUACUGGGCGUAAAGGGCUCGUAGGUGGUCAACUAAGUCGGACGUGAAAUCCCUCGGCUUAACCGGGGAACUGCGUCCGAUACUGGAUGACUUGAGUUCGGGAGAGGGAUGCGGAAUUCCAGGUGUAGCGGUGAAAUGCGUAGAUAUCUGGAGGAACACCGGUGGCGAAGGCGGCAUCCUGGACCGACACUGACGCUGAGGAGCGAAAGCCAGGGGAGCAAACGGG